rnacentral:rRNA from 1 species
UGGGGAAUAUUGGACAAUGGGCGAAAGCCUGAUCCAGCCAUGCCGCGUGUGUGAAGAAGGUCUUCGGAUUGUAAAGUACUUUAAGUUGGGAGGAAGGGCAGUAAGCGAAUACCUUGCUGUUUUGACGUUACCGACAGAAUAAGCACCGGCUAACUCUGUGCCAGCAGCCGCGGUAAUACAGAGGGUGCAAGCGUUAAUCGGAAUUACUGGGCGUAAAGCGCGCGUAGGUGGUUCGUUAAGUUGAAUGUGAAAGCCCCGGGCUCAACCUUGGAACGGCAUCCAAAGCUGGCGAGCUAGGGUAGGGCAGAGGGUGGUGGAAUUACCUGUGGAGCGGUGAAAAGCCUAGAAAUUGGAAGGAACACCAGUGGCGAAGGCGACCACCUGGGCUCAUACUGACACUGAGGUGCGAAAGCGUGGGGAGCAAACAGG